rnacentral:rRNA from 1 species
UUGACCUCAAAUCAGGUGGGACUACCCGCUGAACUUAAGCAUAUCAAUAAGCGGAGGAAAAGAAACUAACAGGAUUCCCCUAGUAACUGCGAGUGAAGCGGGAAAAGCUCAAAUUUAAAAUCUGGCGGCUUCACUGUCGUCCGAGUUGUAAUUUAGAGAAGCGUUUUCCGCGCCGGACCGUGUACAAGUCUCCUGGAAUGGAGCGUCAUAGAGGGUGAGAAUCCCGUCUUUGACACGGACGCCCGGUGCUAUGUGAUACGCUCUCGAAGAGUCGAGUUGUUUGGGAAUGCAGCUCAAAAUGGGUGGUGAACUCCAUCUAAAGCUAAAUAUUGGCGAGAGACCGAUAGCGAACAAGUACCGUGAGGGAAAGAUGAAAAGCACUUUGGAAAGAGAGUGAAACAGUACGUGAAAUUGCUGAAAGGGAAACGCUUGAAGUCAGUCGCGUUCGCCGGGAUUCAGCCCCUGUGGUGUACUUUCCGGUGUAACGGGCCAGCAUCACUUUUGAUCAUCGGAAAAUGGCAGAGGGAAUGUGGCACCUUCGGGUGUGUUAUAGCCCUUUGUCGAAUACGGUGGUCGGGAGUGAGGAAUGCCUUUUUUGUAGGAUGCUGGCAUAAUGGCUUUAAACGACCCGUCUUGAAACACGGACCAAGGAGUCUAACAUGCCCGCGAGUGUUCGGGUGGAAAACCCGUG